GCUCAAAUUUGAAAUCUGACGUGCUUUGGGACGUCCGAGUUGUAAUUUGAAGGAGCGUCUUCGGGAACGAUGCCGUCCUAAGUUCCGUGGAACCGGACGUCACAGAGGGUGAGAAUCCCGUGCCUGGGCGGCCAUCCGUUCCCAUGUGAAGUGCUUCCGACGAGUCGAGUUGUUUGGGAAUGCAGCUCAAAAUGGGUGGUAAAUUUCAUCUAAAGCUAAAUAUUGGCGAGAGACCGAUAGCGCACAAGUAGAGUGAUCGAAAGAUGAAAAGCACUUUGAAAAGAGAGUUAAAAAGUACGUGAAAUUGUUGAAAGGGAAGCGCUUGAGAUCAAACUCGGUUGUUGGUGAAGCUUCGAGCUCGCUCGGAGCCGCUUGCCUCUGACCGGGCCAGCAUCGGUUUCGACGGCGGGAGAAACGGUGGACGGAAUGUGGCUUUCCCGACUCUGGGGGAGUGUUAUAUCCUCCGCCAAAUACCGUCAGUCGGGACCGAGGACCGCGCUUCGGCUAGGAUGCUGGCGUAAUGGUCUUAAGCGACCCGUCUUG
rnacentral:rRNA from 1 species